rnacentral:rRNA from 1 species
UGGGGAAUACUGGACAAUGGGCGAAAGCCUGAUCCAGCCAUGCCGCGUGUGUGAAGAAGGUCUUCGGAUUGUAAAGCACUUUAAGUUGGGAGGAAGGGCAGUAAGCGAAUACCUUGCUGUUUUGACGUUACCGACAGAAUAAGCACCGGCUAACUCUGUGCCAGCAGCCGCGGUAAUACAGAGGGUGCAAGCGUUAAUCGGAAUUACUGGGCGUAAAGCGCGCGUAGGUGGUUCGUUAAGUUGAAUGUGAAAGCCCCGGGCUCAACCUGGGAACUGCAUCCAAAACUGGCGAGCUAGAGUAGGGCAGAGGGUGGUGGAAUUUCCUGUGUAGCGGUGAAAUGCGUAGAUAUAGGAAGGAACACCAGUGGCGAAAGCGACCACCUGGGCUCAUACUGACACUGAGGUGCGAAAGCGUGGGGAGCAAACAGG